CUCUUUUUCUUCCACCUUUUCUUUUUUUUCUCUAAUUAUAAAUUAGCAAUGUCGCAGAUGUAGAAAAUGAAAACUUGAAUGGGUUGUUCUAUUAUUCAGGCAUGUAUUGGCAUAUUUUGCACUCCAGUUGUCUGUACUGUAGUUGGGUCCAGAGAUAUACAAUAUAUCUCUAUCUUUAAAUACCACAUGAAGUUUUUCGAUGGAGUUAACACUUCCUACAGUUUAGACGUGACUCUACUGAGACUGGAGGUGACUGUUAUCUUUGGUGGUUUUUACUUGAUUUUACAUCAAGUCCAUAGAUGACUAAUUCCUUUGGCAGUUGGGAUUUGACUCCUUCAAAAAAUUUCUUUUUCCAAAUUUGACCUUAUUUGAUCCAUCCCAGAUAAAGGUCUCAGAAAUAGCACACACACACAUAUUUUUAUUGUGGGUGAUUGAAGACUAGUCUCCUCACUUGGUGUUACAGUGUUUAUAACAUCUUACUGUUCCC
rnacentral:lncRNA from 1 species